rnacentral:rRNA from 1 species
UAUAAUGGGUCAGCGACUUAUAUUCUGUAGCAAGGUUAACCGUAUAGGGGAGCCGAAGGGAAACCGAGUCUUAACUGGGCGUUAAGUUGCAGGGUAUAGACCCGAAACCCGGUGAUCUAGCCAUGGGCAGGUUGAAGGUUGGGUAACACUAACUGGAGGACCGAACCGACUAAUGUUGAAAAAUUAGCGGAUGACCUGUGGCUGGGGGUGAAAGGCCAAUCAAACCGGGAGAUAGCUGGUUCUCCCCGAAAGCUAUUUAGGUAGCGCCUCGUGAACUCAUCUUCGGGGGUAGAGCACUGUUUCGGCUAGGGGGCCAUCCCGGCUUACCAACCCGAUGCAAACUACGAAUACCGAAGAAUGUUAUCACGGGAGACACACGGCGGGUGCUAACGUCCGUCGUGAAGAGGGAAACAACCCAGACCGCCAGCUAAGGUCCCAAAGUCAUGGUUAAGUGGGAAACGAUGUGGGAAGGCCCAGACAGCCAGGAUGUUGGCUUAGAAGCAGCCAUCAUUUAAAGAAAGCGUAAUAGCUCACUGGUCGAGUCGGCCUGCGCGGAAGAUGUAACGGGGCUAAACCAUGCACCGAAGCUGCGGCAGCGACGCUUAUGCGUUGUUGGGUAGGGGAGCGUUCUGUAAGCCGUUGAAGGUGGUCUGUGAGGGCUGCUGGAGGUAUCAGAAGUGCGAAUGCUGACAUAAGUAACGAUAAAGCGGGUGAAAAGCCCGCUCGCCGGAAGACCAAGGGUUCCUGUCCAACGUUAAUCGGGGCAGGGUGAGUCGACCCCUAAGGCGAGGCCGAAAGGCGUAGUCGAUGGGAAACAGGUUAAUAUUCCUGUACUUGGUGUUACUGCGAAGGGGGGACGGAGAAGGCUAUGUUAGCCGGGCGACGGUUGUCCCGGUUUAAGCAUGUAGGCGGAGGUUCCAGGUAAAUCCGGUACCUUUUAACGCUGAGGUGUGAUGACGAGGCACUACGGUGCUGAAGUAACAAAUGCCCUGCUUCCAGGAAAAGCCUCUAAGCAUCAGGUAACAU